UACAGAGGGGGCGGGCGUUGUUCGGAAUUACUGGGCGUAAAGGGCGUGCAGGCGGUCUGUUAAGUCUAGGGUGAAAGCUCCCGGCUCAACUGGGAGAGGUCCUUGGAUACUGGCGGACUUGAGGGAGGCAGAGGAAAGUGGAAUUCCCGGUGUAGUGGUGAUAUGCGUAGAUAUCGGGAGGAACACCAGUGGCGAAGGCGGCUUUCUGGGCCUUACCUGACGCUGAGACGCGAAAGCGUGGGGAGCGAACCGG
rnacentral:rRNA from 1 species